CCGCGGGCAGGCGGCCGAGGCGGCGGCGGGAUGCAGCGCUGAGGCGGUCACCGCGCGGCGCGGUCGCCUCCCGCUAGCGGCCCAUGAUGUGUCUGGAAAGCGACGGCUCCUCCGGCAGCAGCCCGGGCUGCGGCGGGCGGCUCCGAGCCGGGGACGAAGAGGAGGAAGAGGACGGCGAACGGGGCUGCUGCGGUCGGGGCGCCGAGGGAGAAGUGCAGACCCUAUCGGGCAGGAUGAACCCGCCGGCGGUCGGCAAACGCCCGGAGCGCCCGAUCGUCCGCCGCAAGGCACCCAGCCUCGGCCGGGCCCGGGUGGCGGCCGCCGGCAUCCUCAGCGUGGGCAACGUGCUCAACUACCUGGACCGGUACACGGUGGCAGGUGUGUUGUUAGACAUCCAGCAGCACUUUGGAGUCAAAGACAGCGGGGCUGGCUUAUUACAGACAGUUUUCAUCUGUAGCUUCAUGGUGGCAGCGCCUAUCUUUGGUUACCUUGGUGACCGUUUCAACAGAAAGAUCAUUCUCAGCUGUGGGAUCUUCUUUUGGUCAGCUGUCACUUUUUCAAGCUCCUUCAUCACUGAGCAGUAUUUCUGGCUUCUUGUGCUCUCACGGGGUUUGGUUGGCAUUGGUGAAGCAAGUUACUCAACUAUAGCUCCAACCAUCAUAGGAGACCUUUUCAACAAAAACACCAGGACCCUUAUGCUGUCUGUUUUCUAUUUUGCAAUUCCUCUUGGCAGUGGCUUGGGAUACAUCACUGGAUCAAGUGUGAAGCAGGUUGCUGGAGACUGGCACUGGGCGUUGCGGGUAUCUCCACUCUUAGGAAUGAUAACAGGCACACUCAUCUUGAUAUUUGUACCUGCUGCUAAAAGAGGAAAUGUUGAACAACUUGGGGGACAGCUGAAGGCUCGGAGCUCAUGGCUAAGAGACAUGAAGGCACUGAUUAGAAACCGCAGCUAUGUGUUCUCAUCGUUGGCCACCUCAGCUGUUUCCUUUGCCACCGGGGCACUUGGCAUGUGGAUCCCCCUCUACCUUCACAGAGCACAAGUUGUGCAGAAGACAGCAGAGACUUGCAGCUCGCAGCCCUGUGGCACCAAAGAUAGCUUGAUCUUCGGAGCAAUCACGUGCUUCACUGGUUUCCUGGGUGUAAUCACAGGGGCUGGGGCAACCAAAUGGUGUCGGUUAAAAACCCAGCGGGCUGAUCCUCUUGUCUGUGCUGUUGGCAUGCUAGGAUCAGCCAUCUUCAUCUGUCUGAUCUUUGUCGCUGCCAAGAGCAGCAUUGUGGGAGCCUAUAUUUGCAUUUUUAUCGGAGAAACUCUUCUGUUUUCAAACUGGGCUAUCACAGCAGACAUACUAAUGUAUGUGGUCAUCCCAACACGCCGUGCAACCGCCGUGGCCUUGCAGAGUUUCACUUCGCACCUUCUGGGAGAUGCUGGCAGUCCUUAUCUGAUUGGAUUUAUCUCAGAUCUGAUACGACAAAGCACAAAGGAGUCCCCGCUCUGGGAGUUCCUCAGCUUGGGGUAUGCACUCAUGCUCUGCCCAUUUGUCGUUGUCCUAGGAGGGAUGUUUUUCCUGGCCACAGCCCUAUUCUUCCUCAGUGACCGAGCCAAAGCUGAACAACAUAAUGAAACCGAUUCGGACCACCUCACGGUUGGCAACUACAGUAAUUCGGAAGACGCUUCCACAUGAUACACACACUGCUGGGGUGAACCAACUUGUGAUGCCACCAGCCUCUGUGAAAGUCUGAGAUGUUGAAGGUGAAGGAAACCACGUGUGGACUCCUGCUUCCAGCAACAGUCUCAAGCUCAAAGCCCUUCCACACUGGAAAACAGUGGCUCCCUCAGCUCCACGCCACCCUGGAAGGGCUACAUAGCAGCACCAACUCCACCACGCCACUCCAGCCUGCAGGGUCAGGCACCAGGAGAUGAGCAGGGCAGCCUGGAACACAGUGCUUCUUGAGCAUAAGGACAUUACAGGUUCCUCUGAGCAUCUAAAGCAACUCUCCACUGGACCCAAGUGAGUGACUGUAGAUUGUGUAAAUGGUUUUAGUUGUAGCCAAUGAAGUCCACAUUGUUACAGGACUUCUGUCCUAUUGAAUGCUGCUGUUCUGCCAGCACUCCCACACCCAGAGACUGCACUAGUUGGGGACCUAUUCUGUACAUCACUUUUUCUUUAACACUGAAGGCUCAAUUUAGAUUAUUAUUUUUUAUUUAAAUAUGUCCUAAGAUGCUUUAUCUGCUAAAGACAUUAGAUGACAGAUAUAUAUAUAUAUAUAUAUAUUUAGAUGAACAGUUUUUAUUUAAACAUUUGAAAUCUGGAGCUGCCUGUGUAACCAUACCAGACAUGAAUACGUCCACAACUCUCCUCAUCUCAGUGCCCUGGUAUCAGGUCCUAGAAGGACACCACAGGAAGAGUUCCCAUGGUGGAUGGAACCUGUCACCUGAGGCUGAGCAACAGGACAGAGGAGAGAGUUGCAUUGCACUGGGUGUGCUGGUGGUUGUUACAGAAAGGCCCCAAACUUUGGACAGAAAUACUAGGGGCUCCAGAUUUUGCUCAGUAUACUACAUUCAGCCUUGCCUAGGAGGUUCACAGGUUUAUAAAAUACCAAAAUCCAUCUGGCUGAAUUGCUUUACCAAUGGCCUGGUAGUGCAAUACUGCUGUGCCAGUAACAUCAUGCUUUGUUUACAUGCAUAUCAUGUUACGUGUAUUGUCAGUGCUAAUUCUCCCUCAUCAGUAUUUUCUGAGCAGGCAGCUGAUACUCUACAGUGCUGUUCCCUUUGGAGCAAUGGUUAGGUCAUGCAUGUCCAUCUCCACACACUCUCCUAGACUACUCUUAGUGGGGUGCCUCUUAAUCAUUUAUCUCCAAGACACAAGGCCAGUGUCUGAACUCUGUAGAAGAGUUUCAAAUGCAGAAGAGUGUGGCUGUAAAGCAGCCAGAGAAUCAUUUCACAGGGUCUUGUUUCAUGCACUUGACCUCCACAAGCCAAAUUUAUGCUGCGCCAGCUUAAUGCUGCAAGAGUGACAGGAAGGAAGGAGAGCACGGAGAACACAGGCCCUGGAGAGAGUCAGGCUUCCAGAGAAAAAGCGCUUUUGUUCAGUGAACUUCUCACUCCCUUUUUCUGUUCACAUGUCUCCCAGAGGUCAGACUUUCCAGACCUUCCAGGUUAGGCACCCAGAUACUUUGGGUGUACCUCACUCUUGUGUUCAUGUACAGUAAGCAACUGUGAUUAAGCUGCAAGUAUGACUAAAUCACCAAAGGAAAUGGAAAACUGGGACUGGAUGUGAGUUACAUCUCCAAGUUGGCUGUUCUGUUGUGCUGUAGCUUUGUUCAGACAUAAGAAGGGUAUAGGUAGUAAAUCUGGGUUUUAUCUCCAGUUCACUUCCAGGAUGUUCUGCAAUCUACAGCAAAGCAUUGUAGUAGAGAUGGUUGCUAACUCCACCAAACUAGUCACUAUUCCUACACUGCCAGUGUUAUGAGGGUGAUUCCUAUAAAAAUCUGAGCAUUUCCUCUUCAUCUGUUAUGUAAAAUGGUGAAACAAUGGCUCUAGAGUUGGCUGAACAACUAAGCCAGAAAUUUUCCUUGAGUGCCUGGGCAUCCUCUGGGAAACAGCAAGUGGAUGUUAGAAAAAAUAACAAAAAGCAAAUCCAAAGCAAUUUUUUGUUUCCCACCUUAUGCCCCUAUUUACAUUUGCAGGGGAAAUACCAACACUGUAGAAGCCAAAUACUUGGCUUUAAAGGCACAUGAAUUUCUGAUUCCCAUUAAGAAAUUCCUUGUUAAGAUGGUUAAAAAGAAACAAUUAGUCAUUUCAUUUCAGAUACCAAAGAAGAUUAGCUGUAUUUCCUGAGCUGCUUUUCUGGUAGGCUCUCUCUGUUUUAGCAUUUACUGUCAACAACAUGAAGCAUUCCUGCUCAAGUUCAGAGGUCGAGAAUUGUCCUUAAACUUAAUUCUCUGAAGGCAACAAUGAAAAGGGAACAAAGUGUUUUAUAGUUUUGCCAUCUCUUCUUGUUUGUGCCAAACCCAAUCCUUGCUGGAGAAGCACAGUACUGUUACAGGAGGCCAGCUUUAUCUUCUGUGUAUAUGAAGGAAAUUGCUGUGGAUGCUUUUUUAACAAGGAAAAAGGGAUGUGAGCAAGCAAGGGAGUAAGAAGCAAGUCCUACUUGUAGCAGUCCCAUGCCAAGGGAUCCCUGAAUCCCUCCCACAUGUUCCAGGCUAACCAAGAGAAGCCCAAGCAGCAACCAGAAUAGCUCAUGAGGAUGAACAGGAGAAGGGACAGGAAUCCUGCUGCCCCUUUACAUGUUGUGAUCUAUGUUUUAAUGGCUGAAAGCAGAAAGGUUGGAUUUCUUGUUGAGUGUGUCUUGUUUGUAUUCCUAACUGGAAGAAUUGUUCAGUCAGAGCUCCUAUAAAAGUAUUUGGUCUAUUGGAGUGAAACCAGCUCACUUAGAUCAAGGGUCGGCAGGAUUAAGUCAACAAGAAGAGGUACAUUGAAUCUGGGCAUGAACUAUCCAUGUCAUCAAACAGAAACUGGACCUGUGUCGCCAUCCAUGUCCCCUCCUUGGGUUCUAACGUAGUAUUCCCCAUCCCAAGAUGUUGGCCCAUUUCUGCCAGUAUGCAACUGGAGGAGAACUUAGACUGAAGACAUUGCUUAUAUCAAAGCUGAAGAGCAGCUCUUAUUAAAAUUAGUAUUUGUUUUUUU